rnacentral:rRNA from 1 species
GGACUACCGGGGUAUCUAAUCCUGUUUGCUCCCCACGCUGUCGCGCCUCAGUGUCAGUUACUGCCCAGCAGGCCGCCUUCGCCACCGGUCUUCUAUCGGAUCUCUACGCAUUCCACCGCUACACCCGAUAUUCUACCUGCCUCUACAGUACUCAAGCCUUGCAGUAUUCACGGCAGACCCGGGGUUGAGCCCCGGGCUUUCACCGCAAACUUACAAAGCCACCUACGCGCCCUUUACGCCCAGUGAUUCCGGACAACGCUCGCACCCCCCGUAUUACCGCGGCUGCUGGCAC